GUUCAUGGCAACUUAACCAGAGCCAUUGUUUUCUGAUACCUCAGGGCAGCAGUGACUGUCUCUGUGUAACGUAACUACUACAGCUUGCUGAGUGACAUUUGGUCUAUUCAAUUUUAGCACACACUAGAAACGAAUUAAAAGCAAUUGGUUGUGCUAUUUUCUAUAUCAUCUUGUAUGUUAAUAAACAUGCAAAUUAGUUAAUCUUGCAGUGAGAUACACACACAGAACGCGUGCAUACUGCACUACUGGAGAAACUGCUCACUACGAAUGUGGCAAUUCAACAAAAUUGUCACUCCAUUUUAAAACAGUGGGAGACUCCUGUGUUUUAUUUGACUAUAUGAGGUCACUCUCCUCUACAGCAGAACUGCAACAGAAAAUAGCUGACGCAAAUGUUUCCGCUGAUAAUCCACUACAUCAAGACAAAUAUAAU